AUCAUUUCCCAGCCUUUUGGCUAAGAUCAAGUGCAGCAUCUGUUCUUAUCAGUUCCUUAUCAGGCCCAGAAAAUAGUAAAAGCUAGGUAAAGACAGCCCUUUAGUAUUUAUAUGAUUCAUUUUAUCAGUUCUUGAAGAAAGAGCACUGUGCAGGCAAUGCUAUCUCGCUGCUAUGUUGCAAAAGAG
rnacentral:snRNA from 1 species